UGUUGGUUAAUUUAGAUUUUUUUUAAAUGAUUGAAAUUUGUUGUUCUUUCAUUAGGGUUAAGCUUUUGUGCCUUUAGUUAAUAUCGUAAUGAUGAAUAUCAAAGUGGCGUUAAACCCUAGCGUGGUGGCUAUUCAGUUACAUUUGAAACGCUUAUUGAGGCAGUAACUCCAUGUAAAGAUACUGAUAACAGUUUGUAGCAGUUACUCCACGUACUUGCUGUCGUCAUGCCUGGAAUCAAAAUAUCGUGCUGUUUUAUAUCUCAUUUGAAAGUUUUAACUCAUAAAAUUGCUGAAGAGUGGAAGGAAAAAAAGGACUUACUUUAUAUGCAGAGCUCUUGAAGC